GACGAACGCUGGCGGCGUGCUUAACACAUGCAAGUCGAGCGGUAAGGCCCUUUCGGGGGUACACGAGCGGCGAACGGGUGAGUAACACGUGGGUGACCUGCCCUCAGCUCUGGGAUAAGCCUGGGAAACCGGGUCUAAUACUGGAUAUGACUCCAUGACGCAUGUUGUGGGGUGGAAAGCCUUGUGCGGCUGAGGGUGGGCCCGCGGCCUAUCAGCUUGUUGGUGGGGUGAUGGCCUACCAAGGCGACGACGGGUAGCCGGCCUGAGAGGGCGACCGGCCACACUGGGACUGAGACACGGCCCAGACUCCUACGGGAGGCAGCAGUGGGGAAUCUUGCGCAAUGGGCGAAAGCCUGACGCAGCGACGCCGCGUGAGGGAUGACGGCCUGGUGUAAC
rnacentral:rRNA from 1 species